GGGGGGGGGGGGGGGGGGGGCGGGCGGGGGCGGGUCGGGGGGCAGCGCGGGAGGGGCGUGCUCUUACGGGUGGCGGGUGGCGGACGGGUGCGGAAUCCAUCGGAAUCUACUUUUUCGUGGGGGAGAACGUAGGGAAACUUACGCUAAUACCGCAUACGACCUACGGGUGGAAGCAGGGGAUCUUCGGACCUUUCGCGAUUGACUGAGCCGAUGUCGGAUUAGCUAGUUGGCGGGGUCAAGGCCCACCAAGGCGACGAUCCGUAGCUGGUCUGAGAGGAUGAUCAGCCACACUGGAACUGAGACACGGUCCAGACUCCUACGGGAGGCAGCAGUGGGGAAUAUUGGACAAUGGGCGCAAGCCUGAUCCAGCCAUACCGCGUGGGUGAAGAAGGCCUUCGGGUUGUAAAGCCCUUUUGUUGGGAAAGAAAAGCAGCAGGUUAAUACCCCGCUGUUCUGACGGUACCCAAAGAAUAAGCACCGGCUAACUUCGUG
rnacentral:rRNA from 1 species